UCGACCUCAAAUCAGGUAGGACUACCCGCUGAACUUAAGCAUAUCAAUAAGCGGAGGAAAAGAAACUAACAAGGAUUCCCCUAGUAACUGCGAGUGAAGCGGGAAAAGCUCAAAUUUAAAAUCUGGCGGCCUCCGGUCGUCCGAGUUGUAGUCUGGAGAAGCGUUUUCCGUGCUGGACCGUGUACAAGUCCCUUGGAACAGGGCGUCGUAGAGGGUGAGAAUCCGUCUUUGACACGGACCGCCAGUGCUCUGUGAUGCGCUCUC
rnacentral:rRNA from 1 species